rnacentral:rRNA from 1 species
UACAGAGGGUGCGAGCGUUGUUCGGAAUUAUUGGGCGUAAAGGGCGCGUAGGCGGUGCGGUAAGUCACCUGUGAAAUCUCCUGGCUCAACUGGGAGCUUGCAGGCGAAACUGCCGUGCUGGAGUGUGGGAGAGGUGCGUGGAAUUCCCGGUGUAGCGGUGAAAUGCGUAGAUAUCGGAAGGAACAUCAGUGGCGAAAGCGACUUCCUGGACCAAUACUGACGCUCAUGUGCGAAAGCGUGGGGAGCAAACAGGAUUAAGAAACCCUAGUACGUACCAG